rnacentral:rRNA from 1 species
AUUGAACGCUGGCGGCAGGCCUAACACAUGCAAGUCGAGCGAGCGGCGGACGGGUGAGUAAUGUAUGGGGAUCUGCCUGAUGGCGGGGGAUAACUACUGGAAACGGUAGCUAAUACCGCAUACCAUCAGAUGAACCCAUAUGGGAUUAGCUAGUAGGUGGGGUAACGGCUCACCUAGGCGACGAUCCCUAGCUGGUCUGAGAGGAUGACCAGCCAAACUGGAACUGAGACACGGCCCAGACUCCUACGGGAGGCAGCAGUGGGGAAUAUUGCACAAUGGGCGCAAGCCUGAUGCAGCCAUGCCGCGUGUAUGAAGAAGGCCUUCGGGUUGUAAAGUACUUGCAGUCGGGAGGCGUUACCGACAGAAGAAGCACCGGCUAACUCCGUGCCAGCAGCCGCGGUAAUUC